GACGAACGCUGGCGGCGUGCCUAAUACAUGCAAGUCGAACGCAGUGGGGACGGGUGAGUAACACGUGGGUAACCUCCCAUCAGAGGGGAUAACACUUGGAAACAGGUGCUACACCGACAUUGCUGGCUGGUCUCGCGGUGCAUUAGCUAGUUGGGGAGGUAACAGCUCACCAAGGCCACGAUGCAUAGCCGCCCUGAGAGGGGGAUGGGCCGCACUGGAACUGAGCCACGGCCCAGACUCCUACGGGAGGCAGCAGUAGGGAAUCUUCGGCAAUGGACGAAAGUCUGACCGAGCCACGCCGCGUGAGUGAAGAAGGUUUUCGGAUCGUAAAACUCUGUUGUUAGAGAAGCGGUAUCUAACCAGAAAGCCACGGCUAACUACGUGCCAGCAGCCGCGGUAAUAC
rnacentral:rRNA from 1 species